GACGAACGCUGGCGGCGUGCUUAACACAUGCAAGUCGAACGCUGAAGCUUGGUGCUUGCACUGGGUGGAUGAGUGGCGAACGGGUGAGUAAUACGUGUGUAACCUGCCCUUGACUCUGGGAUAAGCCUGGGAAACUGGGUCUAAUACUGGAUACGACAUGUCACCGCAUGGUGGUGUGUGGAAAGGGUUUUACUGGUUUUGGAUGGGCUCACGGCCUAUCAGCUUGUUGGUGGGGUAGUGGCUCACCAAGGCGACGACGGGUAGCCGGCCUGAGAGGGUGACCGGCCACACUGGGACUGAGACACGGCCCAGACUCCUACGGGAGGCAGCAGUGGGGAAUAUUGCACAAUGGGCGGAAGCCUGAUGCAGCGACGCCGCGUGAGGGAUGACGGCCUUCGGGUUGUAAACCUCUUUCAGCACGGAAGAAGCGAAAGUGACGGUACGUGCAGAAGAAGCGCCGGCUAACUACGUG
rnacentral:rRNA from 1 species